rnacentral:lncRNA from 1 species
GUUAUUGGUUAUUGUUACUACUAUUGGCUAUUAUUAUUGGUUAUUGGUAACUGUUACUACUAUCAAUUACUGUUAUUAUUACUGAUUAUUAUUAUUAAAGCUAAUUAUUAUCACUGAUUAUUGAUUAUUGUUACUACUAUUAGAUAUUAUCAUUGAUUAUUGGUUACUAUUACUAUUAUUGAUUACUACUACUAGUUAUUAUUGCCAAAGCUAAUUACUAUUAUU